UACGUAGGGGGCUAGCGUUGACCGGAAUCAUUGGGCGUAAAGCGCGUGUAGGCGGCCCGGCAAGUCCGCUGUGAAAGUCGGGGGCUCAACCCUCGGAUGCCGGUGGAUACUGUCGGGCUAGAGUACGGAAGAGGCGAGUGGAAUUCCUGGUGUAGCGGUGAAAUGCGCAGAUAUCAGGAGGAACACCAAUUGCGAAGGCAGCUCGCUGGGACGACACUGACGCUGAGGCGCGAAAGCGUGGGUAGCAAACAGG
rnacentral:rRNA from 1 species